GUUGUAUAGUCAAGUAAUUAAGUGCAUGUGGUGGAUGCCUUGGCAGUCAGAGGCGAUGAAAGACGUGAUAGCCUGCGAAAAGCUCCGGGGAGGCGGCAAAUAUCCUUUGAUCCGGAGAUGUCUGAAUGGGGGAACCCACCUACUUUAAGGUAGGUAUUGCAACAUGAAUACAUAGUGUUGCAAGGCGAACGAGGGGAAGUGAAACAUCUCAGUACCCUUAGGAAAAGAAAUCAAUUGAGAUUCCCUCAGUAGCGGCGAGCGAACGGGGAUCAGCCCAUUAAGUUAUGUGUGUUUUAGUGGAACGCUCUGGGAAGUGCGAACGUAGAGGGUGAUAUUCCCGUACACGAAAGGGCACACAUAAUGAUGACGAGUAGGGCGAGGCACGUGAAACCUUGUCUGAAUAUGGGGGGACCAUCCUCCAAGGCUAAAUACUCCUGACUGACCGAUAGUGAACCAGUACCGUGAGGGAAAGGCGAAAAGAACCCCUGUGAGGGGAGUGAAAUAGAUCCUGAAACCGCAUGCAUACAAGCAGUGGGAGCACCUUCGUGGUGUGACUGCGUACCUUUUGUAUAAUGGGUCAGCGACUUAUAUUCAGUAGCGAGGUUAACCGUAUAGGGGAGCCGUAGAGAAAUCGAGUCUUAAUAGGGCGUUUAGUUGCUGGGUAUAGACCCGAAACCAGGCGAUCUAUCCAUGAGCAGGUUGAAGGUUGGGUAACACUAACUGGAGGACCGAACCCACUGUCGUUGAAAAGCCAGGGGAUGACUUGUGGAUAGGGGUGAAAGGCUAAUCAAGCCUGGUGAUAGCUGGUUCUCCCCGAAAGCUAUUUAGGUAGCGCCUCGGACGAAUACCAUAGGGGGUAGAGCACUGUUUCGGCUAGGGGGUCAUCCCGACUUACCAAACCGAUGCAAACUCCGAAUACCUAUGAGUACUAUCCGGGAGACAGACUGCGGGUGCUAACGUCCGUAGUCAAGAGGAAAACAAUCCAGACCGCCAGCUAAGGCCCCAAAAUCAUAGUUAAGUGGGAAACGAUGUGGGAAGGCAUAGACAGCUAGGAGGUUGGCUUANNNNNNNNNNNNNGAAGCAGCCACCCUUUAAAGAAAGCGUAAUAGCUCACUAGUCGAGUCGGCCUGCGCGGAAGAUGUAACGGGGCUAAAACUAUGUGCCGAAGCUGCGGAUUUGACAUUAGUCAAGUGGUAGGGGAGCGUUCUGUAAGCCGAUGAAGGUGUAUUGAGAAGUNAUGCUGGAGGUAUCAGAAGUGCGAAUGCUGACGUGAGUAACGACAAAACGGGUGAAAAACCCGUUCGCCGAAAGACCAAGGGUUCCAGUCCAACGUUAAUCGGGGCUGGGUGAGUCGACCCCUAAGGCGAGGCCGAAAGGCGUAGUCGAUGGGAAAAUGGUUAAUAUUCCAUUACUUCUGUGUAAUGCGAUGAGAGGACGGAGAAGGCUAAAUCAGCCUGGCGUUGGUUGUCCAGGUGAAAGGAUGUAGGCAUGUAUCUUAGGCAAAUCCGGGGUACUCUAUGCUGAGAUCUGAUAGCAAGCUGUACUUGUACAGCGAAGUGGUUGAUGCCAUGCUUCCAGGAAAAGUCUCUAAGCUUCAGUUACACAGGAAUCGUACCCGAAACCGACACAGGUGGUCAGGUCGAGUAGACCAAGGCGCUUGAGAGAACUCUGCUGAAGGAACUAGGCAAAAUGGUACCGUAACUUCGGGAGAAGGUACGCUGUUGUUGGUGAUGGAACUCGCUUCCUGAGCUGACGACAGCCGCAGAAACCAGGCCGCUGCAACUGUUUAUUAAAAACAUAGCACUCUGCAAACACGAAAGUGGACGUAUAGGGUGUGAUGCCUGCCCGGUGCUGGAAGGUUAAUUGAUGGGGUUAGCGUAAGCGAAGCUCUUGAUCGAAGCCCCAGUAAACGGCGGCCGUAACUAUAACGGUCCUAAGGUAGCGAAAUUCCUUGUCGGGUAAGUUCCGACCUGCACGAAUGGCAUAAUGAUGGCGGCGCUGUCUCCAGCAGAGGCUCAGUGAAAUCGAAAUCGCUGUGAAGAUGCAGUGUACCCGCGGCUAGACGGAAAGACCCCGUGAACCUUUACUGCAGCUUGACACUGAACUUUGACCUUACUUGUGUAGGAUAGGUGGGAGGCUUUGAAGCUGGAACGCUAGUUCCAGUGGAGCCGUCCUUGAAAUACCACCCUGGUAAUGUUGAGGUUCUAACUCUGUCCCGUGAUCCGGGACGAGGACCGUGUCUGGUGGGUAGUUUGACUGGGGCGGUCUCCUCCUAAAGAGUAACGGAGGAGUACGAAGGUGCGCUCAGCGUGGUCGGAAAUCACGCGUAGAGUAUAAAGGCAAAAGCGCGCUUAACUGCGAGACCCACAAGUCGAGCAGGUACGAAAGUAGGUCUUAGUGAUCCGGUGGUUCUGUAUGGAAGGGCCAUCGCUCAACGGAUAAAAGGUACUCUGGGGAUAACAGGCUGAUACCGCCCAAGAGUUCAUAUCGACGGCGGUGUUUGGCACCUCGAUGUCGGCUCAUCUCAUCCUGGGGCUGAAGCAGGUCCCAAGGGUAUGGCUGUUCGCCAUUUAAAGAGGUACGCGAGCUGGGUUUAGAACGUCGUGAGACAGUUCGGUCCCUAUCUACCGUGGGCGCUGGAAAUUUGAGAGGAUCUGCUCCUAGUACGAGAGGACCAGAGUGGACGAACCUCUGGUGUACCGGUUGUGACGCCAGUCGCAUCGCCGGGUAGCUAUGUUCGGAAGGGAUAACCGCUGAAAGCAUCUAAGCGGGAAGCCUACCUCAAGAUAAGAUUUCCCUAGGACUUUAUGUCCUCUAAAGAGCCGUUCGAGACUAGGACGUUGAUAGGUUGGAUGUGGAAGCAUAGUGAUAUGUGAAGCUGACCAAUACUAAUUGCUCGUGAGGCUUGACUAUACAACACCCAAGCAGUUG
rnacentral:rRNA from 1 species